rnacentral:tRNA from 1 species
CGGGCCGUGGCGCAGCCUGGUUAGCGCGCUUGCUUGGGGUGCAAGAGGUCGUCGGUUCAAAUCCGACCGGCCCGACCA